GAUGAAGAACGCAGCGAAAUGCGAUACUUGGUGUGAAUUGCAGAAUCCCGUGAACCAUCGAGUCUUUGAACGCAAGUUGCGCCUCAAGCCAUUAGGUUGAGGGCACGUCUGCCUGGGCGUCACAUAUCGUUGCCUGAUGCCAGUUUCCUCGUGAUGGGUGACUGUGCAGGGCGAAUGAUGGCUUCCCGUGAGCAUUGUUGCCUCAUGGUUGGUUGAAAAUUGAGUCCUUGGUAGGGAGCGCCGUGAUAGAUGGUGGUUGAGUGACGAACGAGACCCAAUCAUGUGAGACCCCUACCGAAUUUGGCCUUCAUGACCCACAUGCGUCUUUGGAACGCUCAUGACGAGACCUCAGGUCAGGCGGGGCUACCCGCUGAGUUUAAGCAUAUCAAUAAGCGGAGG
rnacentral:misc_RNA from 1 species